AAACUGAGCUACCGCCUCCAACUUCUCUGUGGCCUUCCUAUUUCCAACUUCCUUGCAGUUUUCGGCUGAGCUCUCUCUUGUUAAUUUCUCUGCGUGUAGAUUGCAAAAUAUCAGAGAGAACGCACCCACGCUUUCGAUGAAGACCAGAAAGAAUUUCAUGAAGACAGAUGCAUAGAUGUGACUGUUUUUACUUUUUAGUUCGACUUCAGCCGUGAGAAUUUCCCCUGUGCAUGCCUCCUUUCAUGCUGUAUGUAGAACAUAUUUCUUUAUCGUUAUCGUGUGGACUAAAUUGUUAUA